rnacentral:rRNA from 1 species
UACGUAGGGUCCGAGCGUUGUCCGGAAUUAUUGGGCGUAAAGGGCUCGUAGGCGGUUUGUCACGUCGGGAGUGAAAACUCAGGGCUCAACCCUGAGCGUGCUUCCGAUACGGGCAAACUAGAGGUAUGCAGGGGAGAAUGGAAUUCCUGGUGUAGCGGUGGAAUGCGCAGAUAUCAGGAGGAACACCGGUGGCGAAGGCGGUUCUCUGGGCAUUACCUGACGCUGAGGAGCGAAAGCAUGGGGAGCGAACAGG